AACCAAUAUUUUUGGUGACUCAUAAUAACUUUACGGAUCACAUUAUGUGACAUAUCAUUCAAGUUUCUGACCUAUCAGCUUUAGACGGUAGGGUAUUGGCCUACCGUGGCUAUGACGGGUAACGGGGAAUUAGGGUUCGAUUCCGGAGAGGGAGCCUGAGAAACGGCUACCACAUCUAAGGAAGGCAGCAGGCGCGCAAAUUACCCAAUCCUAAUACAGGGAGGUAGUGACAAGAAAUAACAAUACAGAACCUUACGGUUUUGUAAUUGGAAUGAGUUAAGUAUAAACCCCUUAACAAGUAUCAAUUGGAGGGCAAGUCUGGUGCCAGCAGCCGCGGUAAUUCCAGCUCCAAUAGCGUAUAUUAAAGUUGUUGCAGUUAAAAAGCUCGUAGUUAAUCUUCUGUUAAUUUUUAUAUAUAAUAUUUCGAUAUUUAUAUAAUAUUAACAUAAUUCAUAUUACUUUUUAGUAUAUGAAACUUUACUUUGAGAAAAUUAGAGUGCUUAAAGCAGGCUAUUGCCUUGAAUACUCCAGCAUGGAAUAAUAUUAAGGAUUUUUAUUCUUCUUAUUGGUUCUAGAAUAAAAAUGAUGAUUAAUAGGAACAGUUGGGGGCAUUUGUAUUUAACAGUCAGAGGUGAAAUUCUUAGAUUUGUUAAAGACAAACUACUGCGAAAGCAUUUGCCAAGGAUGUUUUCAUUAAUCAAGAACGAAAGUUAGGGGAUCGAAGACGAUCAGAUACCGUCGUAGUCUUAACCAUAAACUAUGCCAACUAGAGAU
rnacentral:rRNA from 2 species